rnacentral:lncRNA from 10 species
CAAUCAGCUCUUAGAGGCCAAGGCGGGGAAACUGCGGGGAGGGGAGGAGAUAGAGGCGCAACAGGUUGUCCUGGAAGUGAGGGAAGAAGUGGCCAGGAGUUGCCCACCCCUGCUUGCGCUACUCUCUGGGCUGCUAUUAAUAGAUCUGGUACUCCUGCAGAGGAGCCGGAACACACUGCUGUGCUGGGUUCACUUCAUCUGCCGGCGACCGAGGGUUACCCAUUUUAGCCACCCCCACCCCUCCGCCCUAGUCAAUGAAAUCCCGCGCAGGGCAUGGCCAUUUCCCAAGGAAACUUGCAAACCCAGGGGAAAGUUAGACGCAAUGCUUUUUGAGUUUGAAGCGAAACCCAGAGCGUUUGAGAAGAAAUUCUGGGGCAUAUUUGCAAAAGGACAGCUGGAAUUAAAAGCCAUAGCUAGAGCAGGUUGCACUCCAGCCCAGCCCCCUUCGGCGCGCCCAGACGCUGCCUUCUCCUCGUGAAUUACAAUGGGCACAGUCCUCCGAUUGUAACAAGAUGUUUAGCUGGGCACAUGGCCACUCAAAAUGAAGACUUCAUUCUUGGCCUGCCUUGCAGGAAGAUAUGGCCACGUGACUGAGAUCUGGCCUAUGGAAUGUGAAUAGAAAUAUAUUGCACCUCCCCCUUUCUUCUUCUUCUGAUCAUUUUAUCCAGUUUCUUGGAACUUGGAUCGGCUGCUGAAACUCCAUCUCAUAUUAUGAGGGGAAAGGCCAUAGUCCACUAGAGUUACUGGUAUAGGAAGCUGGAAAAAGCCUGUGUCCCCAAGGAAUUUUUUGAGCAACGCUAUCAUGUCACUCCUGGAUUGACUGCCUACAAGACAUUUUUAAAUGUGAGAUAAAUAAACCUUCAUAUUUUUAAUCAACUAUUUUUUUCUUCUUUUACUUGAAGCAGUAUUUUAUUCUAACUAAAACAAAUUAAGAACUAAAAUUUAGUAAACCUAAGGUAUUUCAUUGCAUCAAAAAACUUAUGAAAUAAUUUAACACUGUAAUUAUCGAACAUAAAUAGAUAAGCUAACAAAAGGAUAUGUAGGAUGACAAAAUGAACUCAUCCAGCAGUUUCAAAAAUCAUGUCAGUCUUUAAUUUUUUAAAUUUGAACUAUGCUAUACAUAGAAUAUAAUAUACAUAAUUGCACAUGUACAAUUUUUAAAAAUUAGGAUGAAAUGAGCACCUAUAUGACCACUGCUAAAAUUAACAAAUAAAGCACCCACUCUCAGUAUCUUUAGAGCCUUCUGUGUACUCCUCACUAAUACAUCCCUCUCCUUGGUCUAUAUCCCAAAUGUAACUGCUUCCCCAGCUUUGUGUUAAUCAAUCACAUAUUCUGCAAUGUAUUUUUAUCUGCAAGUAACAUCAGAAAAGUUUGUUUAGAAUUCGUUGUUUUUUAGCAUGACAUAAAUUGAGUCAUAUCAGUGCUUUAAUUUUAAUAUUGAACGAGAAAAAAUACAACAUUGACUAAUUCAAGUUUGAUAUUCCCACGGAAUGUUUGGGCACCAUAGACCCACCAAAAGUUUUCCCAAGAAUGAAUGAGUCUUAAGAUUCCUUAAGAUCCCAGUUGCAACAUUCUUCAAAUAAUAGUUAUUGAUUAGUGUAAACAACUCCUCAUCUGCACUCUGAAUUAUAAGGGAUUUUGAUUUGAACCAUUUCGAUUGAGCCUAUAUAAAUUUGCUGUAAAUCAUGAGAGUAUGCUCUAAAGAUAUUUCAUCAUAGCUUAUAUAUCAUUUUUUUCUUUGUCAGAAUUGAAGGCAAGGCUGAAUAAUUAUAAUCAUGUUUAUAUUUAAAUCCAGAAAUAUUACUUUCUCUAUCAUUAUGAAACUAGUGGUUUAACAUGUUUAUUAAUGAUUUCACCCAAAAGACACUUCAAAACAGACAUUAUUGCUACUUGUUUAGUUUUAAUCUUCCAAGAUAAUGACAUAUAUGUUCUGCCAUAAUUUUUGUCUAAUUUUUGUACCCAUUUGUAUCUUUCUUAAUUGCCUAAUUAAAAGAGUGUAACGCAGGUUUUAUAAGUUGAAUUAUUGCUGAGAUACCUUAUGCUUACAAUAUUAUGUGUGUGUGUAUGAAUUUCUAAUCUGUGUCAGGUCAUAAUCAUUUCAGUUUCAAUGAGUUAGGAGUGACAGCUGCUUAGGAAACAACUUGUUUCUAUUAAAGCUAGCAUAUUUGUCAUUAGAGUAAGGAUCUCUUUGGCAGUUUAUUUUGUAUUGUUAAUAAUUAUCAUUAUUUUGACUAUAGGGCAUUUAAUUUCCACAUUUAACAUUUGGUACUGUUAUGUAAGCAACUGACUCAUAAAAUAAAAUCCAAACUGUCAACAUUUUUGCAAUCAUAGGGAGGACAAGUAAGCAAAUUAGAUGAAUACAAGACCUAAAUUAAGGGGCAUGUGAAUCAUACAGAAUUUAUUAAUAAGAAUGUGGAUGAACUAUAGCACUUCAUUCUAUAUUGAUGCUGAAUUAGAGUUCAUUUGACUUAUGGUAGUUACUAAAAUGUCCUUUUUCUUUUUUAUUAAAAAUGGGGAUAUCAACCAUUUUAUUUAUUUUAAUGUUGUGUAUGCCUGGGAGUAAGAAAACAUGUAUAAAAUAUGGUACACAUGGUGACGACUGAGGGCGGAAGCAUGGUUAUCACUGUCUGCAACAUAUCCAUUGUUGUCCCAGCAAUCUUGAUCUGACUGACAUAUUAUAAGAGAAUUACUCAAAUGGCUACAAGUUACAAACCAAUUAGUUUGGGUUAUUAUAAUGAGUCCUCAGCCACAGACAAUUAGAUGCCCCCUUUUCUGUAUAGAUCCCUGAUAUUCUAAAAGCCUGAAAGCUGCUGUGGAGCAUUCGCUAUCCUUCCCACAUUUGAAUGAAAUAAAUUGAUCACAGAAAUAUCCUGUGAUGUACCCUAAGAGAAAGAGCCCUCCUAUCAGACACCCUGGGUUUUAACCCGAACUCUGUCAUUUAUUUUAAAAAGCUGUGUAAUCUUCAGAUAUUUGUUUAAGUUCUUCAUGCCUCAGUCUUUUCAUCAGCAAAGUGGGAAAAAAUAGUAAUAUUUGAUAGGGUUGCUGUGUGGACGAAAUGAGAAAACACAUUCUAAGCCCUUAGAAAAAAGCUUAGCAUAUUAUAAGCACUAAAAAACUCAGUUUUACUAUCAUCCUAAGUGACAUUUACAAUUUCUAGAUAAUUAAAUGAGUCUAGAAUCGUUUUACUUAAAGUACCAAAGAAAAUCACAGGCAGAUGUGGGUACAAGUGCCCCAGAGUCCACGGUCUUAAAUUGACACCUUCUCUAUCUUAUUUCUGAGAACAAAAUUUUAAAUUCCUCAAAAUAUGCCACAAGAAUUAUGGCAUUGGACAUCUAAAAAUUGAGCUGUAUCCAUAUUUUGCUCAUGUAGGACCAGAAAAACUUUAUAAAUAUUUUGGCUCUAACAAUUUUUUCAGAGUGCUGGGGCAGACCUAUGUCUUAGCCAUUUUUGUACACACGGGAUUAGCCCAUCUUACAGAUAGUGGGCACUCAAAAAAUGUUGGUUGAAUGGGUAAUUUCUUAGUUUUGGUCUGUCUGCUCUGCAAGACGAUUCCUGAUCUGAAGGCAUUUCUCAAUCCUCAUCCCAUUGUCCCGCAAUUUAUUGGGUCAAGCUCUACGUAUGUAGAAAAUGGCCAUAAUUUUUACAUUUCUUAUUCUCGUCUAUAUCAAAAUCCUGAAUUUCUCCA